AGAGUCAGCAAAGGGUGGUGGGAUUAUCAUUAGUUCUUAUAGGUUUUGGGAUAGGCAGUGGAGUUAGGAGCAAUGUUUUGCAGGUAGCGGGUGGACCUCACAAAGUACAUUUUCAAGGGUGGGGAGAAUUACAAAGAACCUUCUUAAGGGUGGGGGAGAUUAUAAAGUACAUUGAUCAGUUAGGGUGGGGAAGAAACGAAUCUCAAUGGUGAAAUAUCAUCAGCUAAGGCUAUUUUCACUUUUAUGGAUCUUCAGUUGGCCAUCUGGAUGUAUAAGUGUGGGUCACAGGGGAUAUGAUGGCUUAGCUUGGGCUCAGAGGCCUGACAAAAAGUAGGGAAACUGACAGUACCGAGAACCCCUGACAAAUCACUGGGUGUAACUCAAAGAGUCCAAAAUCUGAAGAACUUGGAGUCUAAUGUUCAAGGGCAGGAAGCAUCCAACAUGGGAGAAAGAUGAAGGCCAGAAGACUCAACAGGUCAAGUCCUUCCAAGUUCUGCCUGCUUUAUUCUAACUAUGCUGGCAACUGAUUAGAUGGUGCCUACCCAGAUUAAGGGAGGUUCUGCAUCUCCCAGUCCACUGUCUUAAAUGUUUAUCUCCUUUGACAACACCCUCACAGACACACCCAAGAAAAAUACUUUGCAUCCUUCAAUCCAAUCAAGUUGACACUCAAUAUUAACCAUCACAAUGCUCUUCCUCUGCUGGAAGCCAUCUCUUCCUCCUGCUCUCCCACAUCCUUGCUUUGUUGGCUUCCUCCAGAAAGGCUUCCCUAAUGCCCAAGACUGGGGUGGGAAUCCCUCCUGUGUGCUCCCAUGGCACCCUUAUUUUUUGCCCCCCAUCAUAGCACUUACUAAAACCGUAUUAUCCAUUUUCUUAUCUGUGUUUCUUUUACUAGAUUCCAAGCUCCUCAAGGGCAGGGACUGUUUUGAUUAGCAUAUUUCUCUAAGGUUUCGUGUAAUUCUUGGCAUAAAAUCAGCACUCAGUAAAUAAUUUAUUUUGCAUGAAUGAAUAAGCAUAGCUGAAUCUGGCUAUCUCUAAUUCUUUGUUGUGAUCACUGGAAAAAAUGGAUGCAAAAUGCCCAGCAAGGAUCCUGGAAAAAUAGGCAUUUCAUAAAUGGUAGCUGUCCUGGUGGUGUCACUCCUCAUCAUUCCCAUGGGACUCCUCAGAGUUGCUCAUGGUUGUACUCUUUGGAUGUAGUCAUGCCUUGCUUGUGAUAGGUAAUGUAUACGACUGAAUUGAAUGUGUGUUUAAUAUAUUAAGUAAGCAGGGUACAUGAUUUUCCUUCUGUGUCCAUGUUUAGAAUAAAGGUGAUGAUUAUCUAGAGAACAUGUUUAUUUUCCAUGGAGCAUUACAUUUGUCUUUUUUUUUUUUUUUUCCGGGCACAAAUGCAUUUUAUAAUGAUAAUGUUUUUAAGAGAAUCCAAGUCUCCUGUUUUCUUGUAGGUGAUAACUUGCUAUUGGACUUUACUUUUUAAAAUAUUACCCAAUAUCUGUAACCUGGAAUUUGAAAGAAUUCAUUAAAAUGUUCCCAGUUUGAAAGAGAAACUUUCUGACACAUUUGUUUGCCUUGCCUCGGACGUGCCUUGUUUUCUUUGUAUUUUGUGUCCUGUCUGCAGCAGCAUGUCCCUCUCGUCAGCACUGUUGAAGGAAGACAGCAUGUCAGUGCCAUCUCCUGAAAUCAAAGAAUAUACCACAGCAUUUGGUCUAGGAGAGCUCAAAGAAUGUAUCAAAAUGCCAUAUUUACCAGGACUACAAAGUUACCAAAAAAGUGUAAGUUCAACUCCGCUAGAGGCUCCAAAAAGACUGCCACGUGCUGAUGCCGAGGUGUCUGCAAUCAGGCUAAAGAAGACUAAGGAGACAUGCAGUGUGGCACCACUUUGGGAGAAAUCAAAAGGUAAGCUGACUCGUCCUUUUUUCUACCACCUGUCUUGGGUGUCAUAUACCUUAUCUUUUAAAAAAAAAAUUCCUCUCUUUUCAUUGAUUUAAUUUUCUUUGUUUUGUUACUACUUCUUUUAAGCUUUGUUUAUUUUAUAAACUAAGUGGAUGUUGGGUUCAUUAUAAACAUACUUUUAUAAUUUCAGGACCCUAGGGUAGGCCCUCAUCAUAUCUCACUUGGGCCAUUUAGUGCCUGCAAACUCGUCUUCUUGUUUUGAAUGUCUGAUCUUUGAAAUCCUUCAAUGCCACAAAAAAGUCUAAAACUUUGACUUCUAAUCACAUUACUCUCUCCUUCAAAAACAGUGAGUCCCUCAUUACCCACAGACUGAGUAUGAACUCUUUAGUUUGAUAUUGAACCCUUUGCCAUCUUCCCUCAGCUUUCUUUUCUAGCUUUAUCUUCUAAUUGCUAUUUUUGUGAAUCCUGUGUACUUACGACUUCUCAUACAGAAACUUAUCUAUUUACCAACAGUUUUGGUCCCAAAAAACUACUCUUAAGUCAACUUACUCCUAAGUUCAUGGUGACUAAAAGGGUUUAUGGUACUAAGGUAUAUUUUAUUUGCCAUUUGUCCUUCAGUCUAUCAAAUGAUUCAUCCUUUCCCUAUGUACAACGAAUGUUUCCUUAAAAGCUUAAGCUUUUUAUUGAAUCAGUACAAAUAGCCUAACAUCUGAGAAAAGGCCAGGACCAGACAGAUUCACAGCUGAAUUCUACCAGAUGUACAAAGAAGAGUGGGUACCAUUCACACAGAAACUAUCCAAAAAUUUGAGGAGGAGGGAUUCCUCUGUAACUCAUUCUAUGAGACCAGCAUCAUCCUGAUACCAAAA